GGGGACCCGGAGCUACGGGAGGUGGAGUGAGAGGCGUGGAGGGUGGCCGGGCGGCGGCGGGGCACUGGCCCUUUAAGGAGGAGCGCGGGGCGCGGCCCAGGUAAGGGGCGGGUCCGCCGGGCGGAUCAGCGCUGCGCGCCGGCGCCGGCCGGGGAGCCGGAUUUGGAGUACGCGGCGCCGGCUGGGCCGGAGAGGGCGGCGCGGCGGAGCCUCCAGUGGCCUCGGACGCUCCUUCUCGCCCGCGGCCGCCGCCCGCCUCCGCCUGCUCCUCCGUCCUGGCCGGGCCCGGCCGCCACUUCCGGCCGCUCACCUGGGACGCGCUCACCUGCCUCCGGGCGCCUGGGCACCAGGAUGAAGGACCGGCUGGAGCAGUUGAAGGCCAAGCAGCUGACACAGGAUGACGAUGCCGAUGAGGUCGAGAUUGCUAUUGACAACACAGCUUUCAUGGACGAGUUCUUUUCUGAGAUCGAGGAAACUCGACUCAACAUUGACAAGAUCUCAGAGCACGUGGAGGAAGCUAAGAAGCUCUACAGUGUCAUUCUGUCUGCACCCAUUCCAGAGCCAAAAACCAAGGAUGACCUGGAGCAGCUCACGACUGAGAUCAAGAAAAGGGCCAACAAUGUCCGGAACAAACUGAAGAGCAUGGAGAGGUGUAUUGAAGAAGACGAGGUCCGGUCGUCAGCAGACCUUCGGAUUCGGAAAUCCCAGCACUCCGUCCUCUCCCGGAAGUUUGUGGAGGUGAUGACCAGAUACAACGAGGCCCAGGUGGACUUCCGUGAACGCAGCAAAGGGCGAAUCCAGCGGCAGCUCGAGAUCACCGGCAGGAAGACAACAGAUGGGGAGCUGGAGGAGAUGCUGGAGAGUGGGAACCCUGCCAUCUUCACCUCGGGGAUCAUCGACUCUCAGAUUUCCAAGCAAGCCCUCAGUGAGAUCGAGGGACGGCACAAGGACAUCGUGAGGCUGGAGAGCAGCAUCAAGGAGCUUCACGACAUGUUCGUGGACAUCGCCAUGCUGGUGGAGAACCAGGGUGAGAUGUUAGAUAACAUAGAGUUGAAUGUCAUGCACACGGUGGACCACGUGGAGAAGGCUCGGGAGGAAACAAAAAGAGCCGUGAAGUACCAGGGUCAGGCCCGGAAGAAAUUGAUAAUUAUCAUUGUGGUAGUGGUUGUGUUGCUGGGCAUUUUAGCGUUGGUUAUUGGACUUUCCGUUGGGCUGAAGUAAGGGCGGCCCGGGAGGCUGCUGCCCUGAAAUGUGUGUGGCUUGUGGCCGAGUCUUACUGUUCUCCGCCGCCACCCUGGGCGCUGACCAGCUCCUCCUCCCCCUGCCUCUUGUAGAGCCCAUUUCACCCCAGCCUGAUGUGGCCGCCCUUGUCUUCAGAUGGGAACGGAGUGUGAAUGGCCUUCCUGAGAGAGAGUGGGACCUGUUCCCUUGUUUUCUUGUAACCACCCUUGGACCUGACCCAGCAAACAGUCUAGCCCAGGAGAAAUCUAAACUACUGAUGCAGCCCUCAGAAUCUUCUCCUGCCCCACCAACUCUGAAGCACCUUCUCCUGGACUGUAGGAACUGCCCCAGCUUCUCCUUCUCCCCUCUGAUGUGUCAAAUUAUGCCCCGCACCUUGGAGAACCUACCUGAGACCUCCCCAAGAAGAAGAUCAUGAUCAUGAUCUGCUGUGUCAUCCUUGCGAUCAUCUUAGCUUCUACUAUUGGGGGCAUAUUUGCCUGAAAAAACACAAAACAAAACAGGUGAGCCAUCUGUGGGGAGGGUCAGGCCUGUUUUCGCUGGAGACGCUUGUGUCCUGAGGGCUUUGGUUGUCACCAGGUGCCUUGAUCUGUGUGGGACUGGGGGCUGGGAUGAAGGUUGGAGAAAACCAAGAAAAAUGCGUGAAGAGGGAGUCGGUAGGGAAUAGGUAGAUGGGGAGACAGAAGGUGGCAGUCUGUCCCGUACGCAGGUCUGGUAGCAGAGUGUAUUGUUCAGAAUGCUUUGCAUAAGGGUGUUGAUUUCCUGUAGUGAAAUCUGGGCAUUGGCAUGUGGGAACGGCAGAGGAGAAAGAAUUCAUUAUUGCAUUAGAAGCACCCUGAACUCUUUGGAAGAGGGCCACACAGGGAGCCCAAAGUAAAUAUCAGUAAAAUUUUCCCCUUAUGAGGUUAGGACAGGUUUUGGCAGCCUUGUGAGUAGUCCCUUACCCCUGUAGACAGGCUUGGUGAUCCUAGCCCCACACGUUUUGCCGUAUAAUCUAUGGUUUUUUUCCCUCCGUUUUUGUUAUCCCCUUCAGUCCUCACAGAUGGAUCCUCACCUGGCAUUUUCAAUUCUUCUUCCACCUCUGUGGUGCCACCGCUUCUCCGCUGCAGAUUCCUCCAAAGCUCUUCUUUCCAUUGUGAAACCUCUUAGGACCCAGGACCUCAACCACCUAGCAGUUAGAAGUUACGCAAAAGGAGGUUUACAAACAUAUGGACUUGGGUGGCAGGCAGGGGUAAAGGAACAGGGAGUACAGCACUGCGUAGCAGGUUAGGAGGAUGGUUAAAGGAGGAGACUGCAGGGUAGAGGAGAAAGCAUAGGUACCUGUUUAGGAAAUAAACUUGGAGCCAGAGCCCACGCUGACGUUAUGGCUGAAGCACACCUGCUCAUCAGGACCUGAUUUUAACUGCCGGGAGUCAGUCAGGAUCAGGGCACUUGUUACUUCUGCUCUUCCAGUUCUCGGUCUCACCUUUGACCAACGCUCUGUCUCCUUCCUUCUUCAGGGUCCAACAUUCUCCGAGGUGAUUGUCUAACGAUAGGCCCCAGGCUAUCUCCCUCGCUGCUGUGUCCCCAGUGCUUAGCAUAGUGCCUGCCGCUUACAGCUGCUCAAGAAUCUGUUGACUUUAUCUGAAAUUAAGCUCUGAUUUCUGCUAUGGCCGAGUCCUUGGACUUGCCUCUUAAACGCUUUAAGGCAUCAGUGGGAAAUGGUUUGUGUCACAGGCCGUUUAGAAAUGCCUGGGAAUGGUCGAUCCACCCACGCAGAAGCAGAGCAGGCCCCACUUUCACAACAUACACUUUAAAGUCCUUUUUUUACGGGAGGUGGUGAUAAGAGUUCUGUCAACGGCCUCUUACUUUGCAGAGAUGGCUGGCCCCAGGAUUGUGGUUCAGUAAUUACACGUGGACCCCAAAAGAAACACGUUAUGCUGUGAUUGAACACCCAACAGUCACGAAUACCAUGCUCUGUGAACCCUAACAAAGAAGAGGUGACAAAGUUAGGUCAGAAAAACGAGGCUGUCACGCACACCCCUUCUGAUUCACGUUGCCGGCUGAAACUGGCUUUGUUGGCCGGCAACUUGUGUACAAGAAACUGUUCCAAAUACUGUCCCCAAUUCAAGGUUCAGGGGUGUUCUAAUGCAACUUAGUGAUUAGUUAUAGUACAAGAGGUUCACUAAAAAUAUAUUUAAAAAUCACGGUAUACAAUUCUCAAGGACCACACAACUGCUUAAAUUUGUACUUUUGAAAGUAAAUUAUUUUCUUUGCCGGAGGUCUUACUUUUUAAGAAAGUGGGAUUUAAAAAAUUGACAUUUUAGUCAGUGUGCUGUUUUCUGCCCACUUUCAAAGCAAAUGGUUUAAUAUUUUUCCUAUCAAUCUGUAUUUCCUUUGGUUUGAAUACAGGAUAGAAACCAUUGCCGGCUAGCUCUGAAAAAAUAGAUGAAUUCUGUCAAAGGCAAACAGGGAGCUGGAACCAUGGGGUUUGAGUCACCCAGGGCCCUUGUUCAUUCAACGGUAAGAUGUGAGUGCUGUGUGGCACCUGCACUGUGCUAGGAUCUGUAGGGACACAGAUAUAGAGCCAAAUACCCCCCAUCCCCAGAGGGUUUCAGGCCUAGGAAAGACCACACAAUUCAGGUUUUGUUUCUAUCAGUUCCUUUUGGUAAAAGGCAAGGGUAUGUCUGUUGCCGUAUUGUCCAACAUCCCCCCUUCUAAGAUUGAGAGAAGAUGGGUAGCUGGGCGUAAAUAAAUACGUUGAAUCAAUUAA